UACGUAGGGUGCAAGCGUUGUCCGGAAUUAUUGGGCGUAAAGAGCUCGUAGGCGGUCUGUCGCGUCUGCUGUGAAAACUCAGGGCUUAACCCUGAGCUUGCAGUGGGUACGGGCAGACUAGAGUGCGGUAGGGGAGACUGGAAUUCCUGGUGUAGCGGUGAAAUGCGCAGAUGUCAGGAGGAACACCGGUGGCGAAGGCGGGUCUCUGGGCAGUAACUGACGCUGAGGAGCGAAAGCGUGGGGAGCGAACAGG
rnacentral:rRNA from 1 species